CCUACGGGCGGCAGCAGUGAGGAAUAUUGGUCAAUGGACGAGAGUCUGAACCAGCCAAGUAGCGUGAAGGAUGACUGCCCUAUGGGUUGUAAACUUCUUUUAUAUGGGAAUAAAAUGUUCCACGUGUGGGAUUUUGUAUGUACCAUAUGAAUAGGGAUCGGCUAACUCCGUGCCAGCAGCCGCGGUAAUACGGAGGAUCCGAGCGUUAUCCGGAUUUAUUGGGUUUAAAGGGAGCGUAGGUGGAUUGUUAAGUCAGUUGUGAAAGUUUGCGGCUCAACCGUAAAAUUGCAGUUGAAACUGGCAGUCUUGAGUACAGUAGAGGUGGGCGGAAUUCGUGGUGUAGCGGUGAAAUGCUUAGAUAUCACGAGGAACUCCGAUUGCGAAGGCAGUUCACUGGACUGCAACUGACACUGAGGCUCGAAAGUGUGGGUAUCAAACAGGAUUAGAUACCCGGGUAGUC
rnacentral:rRNA from 1 species